UACGGGGGGAGCAAGCGUUGUUCGGAUUUACUGGGCGUAAAGGGCGCGUAGGCGGCCACCGCAAGUCAGUUGUGAAAUCUCUGGGCUUAACCCAGAAAGGUCAACUGAUACUGCGGGGCUAGAGUACAGAAGGGGCAACUGGAAUUCUCGGUGUAGCGGUGAAAUGCGUAGAUAUCGAGAGGAACACCUGCGGCGAAGGCGGGUUGCUGGGCUGACACUGACGCUGAAGCGCGAAAGCUAGGGGAGCGAACGGG
rnacentral:rRNA from 1 species